UACGAAGGGGACUAGCGUUGUUCGGAAUUACUGGGCGUAAAGCGCACGUAGGCGGAUUUGUUAGUCAGGGGUGAAAUCCCGGGGCUCAACCUCGGAACUGCCUUUGAUACUGCAAAUCUCGAGUCCGAUAGAGGUGGGUGGAAUUCCUAGUGUAGAGGUGAAAUUCGUAGAUAUUAGGAAGAACACCGGUGGCGAAGGCGGCCCACUGGAUCGGUACUGACGCUGAGGCGCGAAAGCGUGGGGAGCAAACAGG
rnacentral:rRNA from 1 species